UCAAGGCCCCAAAACUCCAGCAGACCUCAAGCUUGGUUUGUGCUCCAUUUCAAACAGUUUCCACAUGCGCUCAUUCGAUGAGGUCUUUUGGCCGGACGCCAGCUUCAGUCAACCAGAUGCAGCCUUGUCGGGUUUCCCGUCAGGACGUCACGCCACCUCCUUUUACACACGAAAAAGGGGAAGUAGUGUUCAAGAGACCCGGUUGUGCAGGAGCUCUCCAAAUCCAUCCAGGUGUGUGGGUUCCCCACAAGCUCCGCCCACUGCUUCCCAAAAAGAGAGGCAAACAAUUGACGAAACUAAGACUUCACUGAGACAUCAAAAGGAAUUAAAGUGAGAAGUCACACGAUGAAGUAAGGUAUGAG
rnacentral:lncRNA from 1 species